rnacentral:lncRNA from 1 species
UGGUCACAAGGACGUUAGAGGGUGGGCCCUAAUCCAGUCUGCCCGGUGUCCUUAUAAGAAGAACAGACCUCAGGAGCGCACAUGCACAGAGGGAUGACCGUGUGCAGAGGCAGCAAGAGGGUCGCCAUCUGCAGGCCAAAGAGAGAGGCCUUGACGGAAAUCAACCCUGACAGCCGGCAUCUCGAGCUUGGACUUCCAGCCUCCAGCACUGUGAGAUAAUAACUGUGUUGCUUAAGCCACCCGGUCUGUGGUCUUUUGCUAUGGCAGUUCUAGCGAACAAAUAUAGUCUCUUUCCCUGCACACCUAGAAGAGUUCCUGGGAAGAUGCCCAUAUGCCUGGCUUGGUUCACUUCCCGUCUGUUACCAAUUGCUGUGGCCACCAGAUGCUGAACUCUAAUCGGUCAGGCCUUGGCCAAGUGCUCAUCCCUGGAGCUAGGGAUGGGCUCAGCCUGCCAACCUGGGUUCACUUUUCCUUGUUUGAUUAAAAAUUUUAAUUUAAAGCAAGUGACGGCUGGAUGCAAUGGCUCACUUCUAUAAUUCCAACCUUUUGGGAGGCCAAGGUGGAAGGAUCACUUCAGCCCCAGAGUUCGAGACCAGCCUGGGCAACACAGCGAAAC